GCUCAGUUGGUAGAGCAUGAGACUCUUAAUCUCAGGGUCUUGGGUUCAAGUACCCAC
rnacentral:tRNA from 1 species